AUCUACAUAAUAUAUGAAGACUCUUUCUCUUGCAGUGCAUGGAAUUACCACGAUCAGAUUACGUUCAAUCUUUGAUCGAUCUUAACAUAUCAAUAUUCAUCGACUAAGGGUCGCUAAUUAUCGAUUUCUACUUUAAUGUUGAUAGCAAUUGGCGUUGCAUAAAAAUCAUAUUUAAUCCAAUUAUGAUCACCUGACGAUUCGUCACUCAAUAUCGUGUAUAGUAGUAUAGUAAUAAACAGCAUUGAGCAGUUUGAACCAGUGUCUAACUGUUGUGUUGAGAGCAAAAUGCGUGACCUGAUGGAAUGGAAUAUAACCACGGCAAAAGUGCAAGGAGUGUUGGAAUUGGUGAUGUCGAUGCCGAUGCCGAUGCCGAUGCCGAUGCUGAUGUCGAGCUGCGACGCGACACUUCAGUUCCUAGCAGGGACGACUCUAUGUGUGUGUGCGAGUGGAUCGUGGGGUCAACGAAAAAACGGAAGAUAUCUUCGACUGGCGUGUGAGAAGAACAUACGUGUUGAACUAUCCCUUUCUAUUUUGUUAUAUUAUUUUCAAAUCUUCUCUGCGCAUUUCUUACAUUUCUUACAUAAGUAAAUACAAAUACUAAAUAUUAUUUAUUCGGAUGAUACAAAACGUUGCGUGUCUAAAGAUUUCGUGGAAUUGAGAAUCACUGAAUUACAGAAUAUCAAGAAUUAUAUAAGAACACAUUGUUAUAGACCUUUGUUUAUUUUUUUCUCACAUACGAUUAGAUUAUAGAACGAUGAUCAUUGAAAAUGAUUCGAUAAGGUUUCUUUUUUUUACUGUCGUGAUGUUGCGAUAAAUAUGUAAUUUCUAGCCAUCGCAAACUAAUUUUCUUAGACCACUUCGUCAUAUUUUUUAUAAAUAUCCAUCUCAUCUCAGAGUUUCUAUAUCUUUAGAUCGGUGCUACUAUAAUAAUCUUCGGAUGAUCAAUUCAAGAGAUAAAGUUCCUACUUAAAACACCAAUACUUUUGUUUACGCGCUCGGGUAUCUUGUUAGAAAUUAAAUGAAACCAGGGCAAUGGUUUUCCAAAUAUUUUCAUGCCACUCGUAUAUUCGAUCAAACGUCAACAUUCACUCGUGCAGUCGUUACUCUUUUUUUUUUUUAAAUAAAAACCUCUGCAUCGAUCACUCUCGCUUUGUGUCAAUCGUAUCUUUUCUGAACCUUUUCACUAUUGAAACAGAAAAAAAUCAAUAAAUCUGAAAGAAGACGUAAAAUCAUCCGUCUCACUGAAUCACAAAUAUAGAUAGCCAAAAGACGUACGUGAGUGUCGUUUCCUACUAAGAUCUAGCAGUGACCGCCAAAUAGUCUCUUUCUAUUUGCGGAGCCGGCGAUUUCCUGUAUUGGCACAGUCUCGUCGCACUCUGAUUUCGUUUGACAGUGUUCGUUUUGAGUCGAAACUUUCACAACGGGAGCACAGUUAAGAUGAGCUGAGCAGGACGAAUGUAAGAAG
rnacentral:misc_RNA from 1 species